UACGUAGGGGGCAAGCGUUGUCCGGAUUCAUUGGGCGUAAAGAGCGUGUAGGCGGCCAGGUAGGUCGGUUGUGAAAACUGGAGGCUCAACCUUCAGAGGUCGACCGAAACCAUCUGGCUAGAGUCCGGGAGAGGAGAGUGGAAUUCCUGGUGUAGCGGUGAAAUGCGCAGAUAUCAGGAAGAACACCCGUGGCGAAAGCGGAUCUCUGGGCCUGUCCUGACGCUCAGGCGCGAAAGCUAGGGGAGCAAACAGG
rnacentral:rRNA from 1 species